rnacentral:lncRNA from 1 species
CUGACGUGGCUCAAUUAUCUCAGAAGCCUCCUGGACCAUCACAGAUGCUUUCGGUAACUCUUACAGUGGAGGAAGACAGGAAAUGUCAGACCUCUGAGCCCAAGCCUGCAAGUAUACAUCCAGAUGGCCUGAAGCAACUGAAGAACCACAAAAGAAGUGAAAAUAGCCAGUUCCUGCCUUAACUGAUGACAUUCCACCAUUGUGAUUUGUUCCUGCCCCACCUUAACUGAUCAAUUAACCUUGUGACAUUCCU